GCCAAUUCUCCUCUCUGAUUUUUGCUGCUUUUGCUAACCUUUUCUGUCUAGGGCAACCCAGCGCUUCAACGGCUCUUAAAAUCUUUAAUAAUUUGCUGGUAACCCACUGUUCCACUUUCACUCUUUUUGGCUAGUCUGCUUGUCUGCCUACAAUGCAAGCAGAGAAGCAGCAAACUUGGAAAAUCAAAGUACAUGCUAGAGCCAAGAAAUUCCAUUUCAAAUUCAAAGCAACAAAAACAGAUCAACCCAUCUGGAAGUCGCCCAAAUUCUCAAUCUUUCUUAGAAUCCAUAGAUUUUUCCUCCAAGUGAAUACAGAAUCUCGGAAUUCAAUACCCAGAUGGAAAAAACCAAGAACCCUGAAAUCUAAAUUCCUCAGAUUUUUUCAAAAGUUCAAGACUUUACCUUCAAAGAAACAGGCAAUUGCAGCAGAGAAAACCCAAAAUCUUCAAAACCCAGACAGUAAAUUACAUGUGGAUCGACAGAGAGAGUUUUCUUACAAGAAGCCAUUUUGCAUUGGAUCUUUGCUGGUCGGGACACUGGCAUUGCUUUCAGAAUCAAUCUGUGAGAGAAAUCAGAAGGGAGUUAUCAUCCAUGGUUCAUCUGUCUUGUUAUUUCUUGCUUUCUUGUUCAAGAAAUAUAUAACGGGAAAGGCCAUGACUUUAUUGGUGUUUUUAACAAUGGCAACUGCAGUUUGUGCAGUUAUGUUUCGUUUAGACGAGUACAUGAAUUAUGAUCAAGGUUUGGUCUCAGAAUUUGUCUGGAAGGCAUGGAAUUAUGCUGCCUCUUCUGGGUGUUUAUAAGAGCUUUCUCAGGUAAUUUUUUCAAGGUUUGCCAAUCUAUGGGUGUGGUGCAGUCAGAGGAUUUGACAUCCCAAUUAUCCUAUGAAUCAAUUCUUCUUUGAUUAGAUUAGGUGAUUUCUUCUUCUUUUGUCUAUCUUUUACCACACACCACACAUGCCAACUGUUCAAAGAAAAAACAAAGUGCAUUUUUCCCACACCAUUAUUUUCUCAACAUCUAUGAAAAUGAUUUGAGUGUACAAGCAUCUCUUUCUAUUAGUGAUUGUUUGAAAGUUUGAAUAUUAACUGUAAUCUAUUUUAAUCUUUAUAUA